AACGAACGCUGGCGGCAGGCUUAACACAUGCAAGUCGAGCGCCCCGCAAGGGGAGCGGCAGACGGGUGAGUAACGCGUGGGAACGUACCUUUUGGUUCGGAACAACUCCGGGACACUGGAGCUAAUACCGGAUAAGCCCUAACGGGGAAAGAUUUAUCGCCGAAAGAUCGGCCCGCGUCUGAUUAGCUAGUUGGUGAGGUAACGGCUCACCAAGGCGACGAUCAGUAGCUGGUCUGAGAGGAGGAUCAGCCACACUGGGACUGAGACACGGCCCAGACUCCGACGGGAGGCAGCAGUGGGGAAUAUUGGACAAUGGGCGCAAGCCUGAUCCAGCCAUGCCGGGUGAGUGAUGAAGGCCUUAGGGUUGUAAAGCUCUUUUGUCCGGGAAGAUAAUGACUGUACCGGAAGAAUAAGCCCCGGCUAACUUCGUG
rnacentral:rRNA from 1 species